rnacentral:rRNA from 1 species
UCCAGACUCCUACGGGAGGCAGCAGUGGGGAAUAUUGCGCAAUGGGCGAAAGCCUGACGCAGCGACGCCGCGUGAGGGAUGAAGGUCUUCGGAUCGUAAACCUCUGUCAGCAGGGAAGAACGGUCACUGUGCUAAUCAGCAGUGAAUUGACGGUACCUGCAAAGGAAGCCCCGGCUAACUACGUGCCAGCAGCCGCGGUAAUACGUAGGGGGCAAGCGUUAUCCGGAUUUACUGGGUGUAAAGGGAGCGUAGACGGCUGUGCAAGUCUGAAGUGAAAGGCGGGGGCCCAACCCCCGGACUGCUUUGGAAACUGUGCUGCUGGAGUGCAGGGGAGGCAAGUGGAAUUCCUAGUGUAGCGGUGAAAUGCGUAGAUAUUAGGAGGAACACCAGUGGCGAAGGCGGCUUACUGGACUGUAACUGACGUUGAGGCUCGAAAGCGUGGGGAGCAAACAGGAUUAGAUACCCCCGUAA